UACGUAGGGGGCAAGCGUUGCCCGGAAUUAUUGGGCGUAAAGAGCGUGUAGGCGGUCCGGUAAGUCAGCUGUGAAAGUCAAGGGCUCAACCCUUGAAUGCCGGUUGAUACUGUCGGGCUAGAGUCCGGAAGAGGCGAGUGGAAUUCCCGGUGUAGCGGUGAAAUGCGCAGAUAUCAGGAGGAACACCGAUAGCGAAGGCAGCUCGCUGGGACGGUACUGACGCUGAGGCGCGAAAGCGUGGGGAGCGAACAGG
rnacentral:rRNA from 1 species